GGGGGCAUGACUCAAGUGGUAGAGCACCUGCCUAGCAAGCACGAGGCUCUGAGUUCAAAUCCCAGUUCUGCCA
rnacentral:tRNA from 1 species